rnacentral:rRNA from 1 species
AUUGAACGCUGGCGGCAGGCCUAACACAUGCAAGUCGAGCGGAUGAAGGGAGCUUGCUCCUGGCUUCAGCGGCGGACGGGUGAGUAAUGCCUAGGAAUCUGCCUGGUAGUGGGGGAUAACGUCCGGAAACGGGCGCUAAUACCGCAUACGUCCUGAUGUAGAAAGUGGGGGAUCUUCGGACCUCACGCUAUCAGAUGAGCCUAGGUCGGAUUAGCUAGUUGGUUGGGUAACGGCCUACCAAGGCGACGAUCCGUAACUGGUCUGAGAGGAUGAUCAGUCACACUGGAACUGAGACACGGUCCAGACUCCUACGGGAGGCAGCAGUGGGGAAUAUUGGACAAUGGGCGAAAGCCUGAUCCAGCCAUGCCGCGUGUGUGAAGAAGGUCUUCGGAUUGUAAAGCACUUUAAGUUGGGAGGAAGGGCAGUAAGUUAAUACCUUGCUGUUUUGACGUUACCAACAGAAUAAGCACCGGCUAACUUCGUG